rnacentral:rRNA from 1 species
UACGUAGGCAGCAAGCGUUGUUCGGAAUUACUGGGCGUAACGAGUGUGUAGGCGGUGAACUAAGUUCGGUGUGAAAUCUCCCGGCUCAACUGGGAGGGUGCGCCGGAAACUGGUUUGCUGGAGCGUGGGAGAGGAAAGCGGAAUUCCUGGUGUAGCGGUGAAAUGCGUAGAUAUCAGGAGGAACACCUGUGGUGUAGACAGCUUUCUGGACCAUAGCUGACGCUGAGACACGAAAGCGUGGGUAGCAAACAGG